AACGCGAAGAACCUUACCUGGUCUUGACAUCCACAGAAUCUUGCAGAGAUGCGAGAGUGCCUUCGGGAACUGUGAGACAGGUGCUGCAUGGCUGUCGUCAGCUCGUGUUGUGAAAUGUUGGGUUAAGUCCCGCAACGAGCGCAACCCCUAUCCUUUGUUGCCAGCACGUAGAGGUGGGAACUCAAAGGAGACUGCCGUUGAUAAAGCGGAGGAAGGUGGGGACGACGUCAAGUCAUCAUGGCCCUUACGACCAGGGCUACACACGUGCUACAAUGGCGUAUACAAAGGGCUGCGAAGGUGCGAACUGGAGCGAACCUCAUAAAGUACGUCUAAGUCCGGAUUGGAGUCUGCAACUCGACUCCAUGAAGUCGGAAUCGCUAGUAAUCGUGAAUCAGGAUGUCACGGUGAAUACGUUCCCGGGUCUUGUACACACCG
rnacentral:rRNA from 1 species